rnacentral:rRNA from 1 species
CUUGUUGGUGGGGUAAUGGCCUACCAAGGCGACGACGGGUAGCCGGCCUGAGAGGGCGGCCGGCCACACUGGGACUGAGACACGGCCCAGACUCCUACGGGAGGCAGCAGUGGGGAAUAUUGCGCAAUGGGCGGAAGCCUGACGCAGCGACGCCGCGUGAGGGAUGAAGGCCUUCGGGUCGUAAACCUCUUUCAGCAGGGAAGAAGCGAGAGUGACGGUACCUGCAGAAGAAGCACCGGCUAACUACGUGCCAGCAGCCGCGGUAAUACGUAGGGUGCAAGCGUUGUCCGGAAUUAUUGGGCGUAAAGAGCUCGUAGGCGGUCUGUCGCGUCUGCUGUGAAAACUCAGGGCUUAACCCUGAGCUUGCAGUGGGUACGGGCAGACUAGAGUGCGGUAGGGGAGACUGGAAUUCCUGGUGUAGCGGUGAAAUGCGCAGAUAUCAGGAGGAACACCGGUGGCGAAGGCGGGUCUCUGGGCCGUAACUGACGCUGAGGAGCGAAAGCAUGGGGAGCGAACAGGAUUAGAUACCCUGGUAGUCCAUGCCGUAAACGUUGGGCGCUAGGUGUGGGGCUCAUUCCACGAGCUCCGUGCCGCAGCUAACGCAUUAAGCGCCCCGCCUGGGGAGUACGGCCGCAAGGCUAAAACUCAAAGGAAUUGACG